GUGUUCAUAGUAUAACGGUUAGUACGUCAGAUUGUGGUUCUGAAAGUGAGGGUUCGAUUCCCUCUGUUCACCCCA
rnacentral:tRNA from 1 species